UACGUAGGGUGCAAGCGUUAAUCGGAAUUACUGGGCGUAAAGCGUGCGCAGGCGGUUUUGUAAAGUUUGUCGUGAAAGCCCCGGGCUCAACCUUGGAAUUGCGAUGAAGACUGCAAGGCUUGAAUCUGGCAGAGGGGGGGUAGAAUUCCACGUGUAGCAGUGAAAUGCGUAGAGAUGUGGAGGAACACCGAUGGCGAAGGCAGCCCCCCUGGGUCAAGAUUGACGCUCGAUGCACGAAAGCGUGGGGAGCAAACAGG
rnacentral:rRNA from 1 species